UACGGGGGGGGCAAGCGUUGUUCGGAAUUACUGGGCGUAAAGGGCUCGUAGGCGGCCAACUAAGUCAGACGUGAAAUCCCUCGGCUUAACCGGGGAACUGCGUCUGAUACUGGAUGGCUUGAGAUUGGGAGAGGGAUGCGGAAUUCCAGGUGUAGCGGUGAAAUGCGUAGAUAUCUGGAGGAACACCGGUGGCGAAGGCGGCAUUCUGGACCGAUAUUGACGCUGAGGAGCGAAAGCCAGGGGAGCAAACGGG
rnacentral:rRNA from 1 species